rnacentral:rRNA from 1 species
UACAGAGGAUGCAAGCGUUAUCCGGAAUGAUUGGGCGUAAAGCGUCUGUAGGUGGCUUUUUAAGUCCGCCGUCAAAUCCCAGGGCUCAACUCUGGACAGGCGGUGGAACUACCAAGCUGGAGUACGGUAGGGCAGAGGGAAUUUCCGGUGGAGCGGUGAAAGUGCGUAGAGAUCGGAAAGAACACCAACGGCGAAAGCACUCUGCUGGGCCGACACUGACACUGAGAGACGAAAGCUAGGGGAGCGAAUGGG